CCUACGUGUGGCAGCAGUGGGGGAUAUUGCACAAUGUGGGAAACCCUGAUGCAGCGACGCCGCGUGUGGGAAGACGGUCCUCUGGAUUGUAAACCACUGUCCCCAGGGACGAAGCUGUCGGUACCUGGUGAGGAAGCUCCGGCUAACUACGUGCCAGCAGCCGCGGUAAUACGUAGGGAGCGAGCGUUUUCCGGAAUUACUGGGUGUAACGGGAGCGUAGGCGGGGAUGCAAGUUGGGUGUCAAAACUACCGGCUCAACUGGUAGUCGCACUCAAAACUGCAGCUCUUGAGUGAAGUAGAGGCAGGCGGAAGUCCUAGUGUAGCGGUGAAAUGCGUAGAUAUUAGGAGGAACGCCAGUGGCGAAGGCGGCCUGCUGGGCUUUUACUGACGCUGAGGCUCGAAAGUGUGGAGAGCAAACAAGAUUAGAUACCCUGGUAGUC
rnacentral:rRNA from 1 species